rnacentral:rRNA from 1 species
AAGGAAACCAGAUGACCCCUUCGGGGUGAUUCUGGCGGAAUGAGCGGCGGACGGGUGAGUAACACGUGGGCAACCUGCCUGUAAGACUGGGAUAACUUCGGGAAACCGGAGCUAAUACCGGAUAGUAUUUCCUUUCUCCUGAUUGGAAAUGGAAAGACGGUUUCGGCUGUCACUUACAGAUGGGCCCGCGGUGCAUUAGCUAGUUGGUGGGGUAAUGGCCCACCAAGGCGACGAUGCAUAGCCGACCUGAGAGGGUGAUCGGCCACACUGGGACUGAGACACGGCCCAGACUCCUACGGGAGGCAGCAGUAGGGAAUCUUCCGCAAUGGACGAAAGUCUGACGGAGCAACGCCGCGUGAGCGAUGAAGGCCUUCGGGUCGUAAAGCUCUGUUGUUAGGGAAGAACAAGUACGAGAGUAACUGCUCGUACCUUGACGGUACCUAACCAGAAAGCCCCGGCUAACUACGUGCCAGCAGCCGCGGUAAUACGUAGGGGGCAAGCGUUGUCCGGAAUUAUUGGGCGUAAAGGGCUCGUAGGCGGUUUCUUAAGUCUGAUGUGAAAGCCCACAGCUCAACUGUGGAGGGUCAUUGGAAACUGGGGAACUUGAGUGCAGAAGAGGAGAGUGGAAUUCCACGUGUAGCGGUGAAAUGCGUAGAUAUGUGGAGGAACACCAGUGGCGAAGGCGACUCUCUGGUCUGUAACUGACGCUGAGGAGCGAAAGCGUGGGGAGCAAACAGGAUUAGAUACCCUGGUAGUCCACGCCGUAAACGAUGAGUGCUAGGUGUUAGGGGGUUUCCGCCCCUUAGUGCUGAAGUUAACGCAUUAAGCACUCCGCCUGGGGAGUACGGCCGCAAGGCUGAAACUCAAAAGAAUUGACGGGGGCCCGCACAAGCGGUGGAGCAUGUGGUUUAAUUCCAAGCACCGCGAAGAACCUUACAGGUCUUGACUUCCGCUGACAAUUUGGAAACAAGACGUCCCUUCGGG